AGUGAACGCCGGCGGUAGGCCUAACACAUGCAAGUCGAACGGCAGCACAGUAAGAGCUUGCUCUUACGGGUGGCGAGUGGCGGACGGGUGAGGAAUACAUCGGACUCUACUUUUUCGUGGGGGAUAACGUAGGGAAACUUACGCUAAUACCGCAUACGACCUACGGGUGAAAGCAGGGGAUCUUCGGACCUUGCGCGAUUGAAUGAGCCGAUGUCGGAUUAGCUAGUUGGCGGGGUAAAGGCCCACCAAGGCGACGAUCCGUAGCUGGUCUGAGAGGAUGAUCAGCCACACUGGAACUGAGACACGGUCCAGACUCCUACGGGAGGCAGCAGUGGGGAAUAUUGGACAAUGGGCGCAAGCCUGAUCCAGCCAUACCGCGUGGGUGAAGAAGGCCUUCGGGUUGUAAAGCCCUUUUGUUGGGAAAGAAAAGCAGCAGGUUAAUACCCCGCUGUUCUGACGGUACCCAAAGAAUAAGCACCGGCUAACUUCGUG
rnacentral:rRNA from 1 species